rnacentral:rRNA from 1 species
UGAGGAAUAUUGGUCAAUGGGUGCAAGCCUGAACCAGCCAUCCCGCGUGAAGGACGACUGCCCUAUGGGUUGUAAACUUCUUUUGUAUAGGGAUAAACCUACCCUCGUGAGGGUAGCUGAAGGUACUAUACGAAUAAGCACCGGCUAACUCCGUGCCAGCAGCCGCGGUAAUACGGAGGGUGCAAGCGUUAUCCGGAUUUAUUGGGUUUAAAGGGUCCGUAGGCGGACUUAUAAGUCAGUGGUGAAAGCCUGUCGCUUAACGAUAGAACUGCCAUUGAUACUGUAAGUCUUGAGUAUAUUUGAGGUAGCUGGAAUAAGUAGUGUAGCGGUGAAAUGCAUAGAUAUUACUUAGAACACCUAUUGCGAAGGCAGGUUACCAAGAUAUAACUGACGCUGAGGGACGAAAGCGUGGGGAGCGAACA